UACAGAGGUCUCAAGCGUUGUUCGGAUUCAUUGGGCGUAAAGGGCGCGUAGGCGGCGAGGUAAGUCGGGUGUGAAAUCUCAGAGCUCAACUCUGAAACUGCACUCGAUACUGCUUUGCUAGAGGACUGGAGAGGAGAUUGGAAUUCACGGUGUAGCAGUGAAAUGCGUAGAUAUCGUAAGGAAGACCAGUGGCGAAGGCGGGUCUCUGGACAGUUCCUGACGCUGAGGCACGAAGGCCAGGGGAGCAAACGGG
rnacentral:rRNA from 1 species